UUAAAAAAAAAAUUCAAAGAUAAGGCGAAAAGAAAAUUCUAGAGAUACACAUAGCCUUUUGAAAGAAUAUCAAGAAGCUUAUAUUGGCCAUUUGUUGAAAAGAGAAAUAAAGUAGAAAUAAUAGGCAUGGAGAAAAGAAAUAAAGAUAGAGAAGUGUUUGGUUUGCGGGAAUCAAAAGCUUGGACUUUUCAUGCAAGUCCGUAUGAUAUGUAGCCAACUAUUAAAUCAAGAGAUAUAUCGGGUCUCGGGAAUGAUGUCCAACCAAGGAUUUGGUGACUUUGAUUGAAUGAGUCAUAGAAGCCCUAGUUCCAUGGCAUAUUCAAAUCUUAUUUCAAAUGUUUGUGGGACAAGAUUAGGUGGUUAGAAUAGUCUUCCUCAAGAGGUUAUUAUUUUUUAAAAUUUCAUUUUAGCACUACCAAAUAGUAAAUGUUUAAUUACACUUUCCUUUUGGCUUUAGAUCUUUUUGGUAAUUUUAUAGCUAGAAAAUAUCCACUUAACAUUUUCUAUUUAGUUUUACAGAUACAUAGUUAUGCAAUUACUUUAAGAAAGCUUUGUCUUUGCCUUUUUAACUUUAUUGUCCAACUCUUCUAGCAUGACCAAUUAACAAUCUUAACUUUCUUUUUUCAAACAAAUACCAAUUCAAUAAAAAUACUAAAAAUUAUUAUAAUAAAUUGGGCAA